AAUAAGUUCAUUUUUUAGUUUUUAGAUACAAUGUUAUGAGUCUUCGUUUUAUUUGAAAUUUUUUUGCGAUUAAUAUUUUUAUUGUUACUAGAUGAUAAAAUAUGAAUAGUACUUUAUGUGUGACGAAUUUUUUAAGUUUUAUAUAAAUUUUUCAAAUAAGACAAAUGGUCAAAGCAUUGGACACAGAAAUCAAAAAAUGACGUUAUU
rnacentral:pre_miRNA from 1 species